AUACUCGGCUGUGAAAUGUUUGAGAGGUUCAGUUUGAUAUACAUUUACAGGAUAUGCACUAUGGAUGGGCUAUCUCAGAUACAAACAUUAUUUUGCAACCAACCUACGCUCUAGAGUGUAUCUAAUUCUGAAGCAGAGAUUAGCCAGGGAAAUGUUUUACCACGUAUAAUGAACGGAAGCUGGGACAGAGGAGACUGCAAGGAGGAAAUUACUUUUUUGCAUAAAUAAAUUUCCCUCCCUCUCUCCGAUUGACAGCAACCGUGUCUGGAGCUGGGUCCAUCAUCUUCUGUGUCAAUGCAGCUUCUGUUCCUUCUAUUUGUUUUAGCCACUAUAUGAACACGGCAGGAACAAGAGGAAUAGAAAAAGAUCUGUUGCUGAAGGACAUGGAUGAUUAUUACACAAGAAGGAAAAGGCAGCAGGAUAAAUCAAUGGUGCGUGUGCACAUGUGCAUGUGUGUGAGAGAGUGAUAUCAUACAAGUAAUUCUCAGCUUGAGAACUAUUAUUUGAAUGAUAAAUGGUUUGUUAAAUUACAUUUCAGUUGUCCAAUGGCUACAAGACUAUGGGAAAAUGAAAUUGCUAUUUCCAAGACCAGUUGACUUUAUUUUUAUACUAGUGAAGACUGCCAGGCAUACCAGUUGGGAGAUAAACAUCCUUUAGUAAGGAGUUUAGAAACCUCUCCACUUAAUACACAGCAGCACAACCAGCUCCACUGUACUAGCUCAGUGAAAUCCCAGGAGAGGACCAAGCCCUAACAACAGAAAUACUGAAUCAUGUUUUCAUAAUUCUGUCUUCCCCAUGUGGCACAAGAAGGGAGAUAACAAGAGACUAAUGCAAUUUUCAAAAGUGCUUGAACUGUGUGAUCCAAGAGGUAAAACAUCAUGCAAGUUAAGGUUAUAAUGAAUUUCUCACUAACACACUGUUAGGUAAAGGGAAAGUGUGGGACAUUAAAGGGCAGUAUGUAUUUUUAGACCAUUCUGAAAGACAUACAUUUGUGGCUGUGUCAUGGAAAGAUAUUAAGGGUCAAUUGUUCAAGAACUAGCAGCCUGUGUUCUUACAAAAUAGUGCAAAGGUGGCACAUGAAAGGAGCGAUCCUGUGAGGUGCUGAGCACUUUCUUUUUCUACUGACUUCCAUAGUAGAGGAUGGUAUUGAGCUCCAGGAGGUUUUCAGAAGCCUUGGAGACAUGGGCCCAGAACUGGUCUUCAUUGUAUGAACUUUGCAAAGCACUGAGAACCUCCAGUGAUGUGCUGAGCACCCUCAAUUCCUCAAAAGGUCACUGGGAGUUGAGGUUGAUGACAUUUCCCAGAUUAGGCUUCUUUUAUCCCAAAGUUUUUUUACAGCUUUGUUUUAAUGGUAACGUCUCCAGAGGAAGUUUUCAUUUUUAAAGUUAUAUUUUAAAUGUUUGAAUGUAUAUUCAGGCCCCCACAAGUACAAUCCCAAUAAAGCCACAGGUUAUGAUGCCUCCAUGCUCACAUCCAUGUUAAUUUAACAGAAAGGUCAUGCGUCACUGACAAAUCAUCCUUCCGGUUCUAGGAUGGUAUGCUCAGUGUUUAUGCAAACAAAAAACUUUACUGAAAUCUACCUUUUCACAGAGGGAAAGUACAGUCCCAGCUUGGAUUAUUGCAACCUGUUCUUCAUUUCUCAAAUUCUAAAAUACAGAAAAGAUGCAACUGUAUUUCACAUUGGAUUGUAAAUCCAUUCUCCAAAACAAGUGAGAGAGAUCUUGAUUUUAUUGUAUGUAUCACAGAGCGUUGGCUCUCUUUAUUUUUUAAAAAGACAAGCACAGAAAAUGUCCAGUGACAACAAAUAAAUAAAGCUAAAGUAAGUGAAUACAGUCCCUACACUUGUUAGUUCAAUGCAUCAUUCUCACCAUGCCUUGAAAAAAGAGCAUGGUCUAGGGUGGCCUCAAUCUAGUGAUUUUUUUUAAAAUGGGAAAAAUGUCAAUUCAUUGGACUGCCAUCCUAAUGCAAAAAAAUCUUGCACCAAAGCCAAGGGAGCACUGAAGAAUUAGACUUGUUAUUGAACAGCACAAUACUGAUUGCUUUGAAAGUGCUUUUGGAUCUCACUGCAUAGAAUAUAAUCUAGAGCCAACCCUCAAACUUUGUGGAUCAGACUAAAGCUACGAUAUAAUCUUUCCUUUUUAAGGUAUUUCUAGGGCACCCUUUGUUGUAGAAUCUAAACUUCUGUGUUACUAUUUCAGGGAAUCAAUAUAGAAAAAUGAGCUUUAACUUAUUUCCUACUCUUAAUUUUGUUCUAACCUUUAUUACACCAUAUCUUGUGCAUUCCCUGUGCCACAACUUUUAGUGCCACUCACCAGCGACCCACAUCUGUCCUGAAAAACACAGAUGUGACUCCCACUGAAGUCAAUUCCCAUUGAAGGGAUUGCAUCUAUGCUGGCAAAAAUGGGCCCUAACAUUUGGUACUGAAUAUAGCCAUAGAAAGUCUCUUAAUGCAUAUUUGCUGGCAUGCCAUUCCAUGGGAGUAAUUGAAAUAAAGAAAUUGUUACCCCAUUAUCUCCAAGGAUAUCAAGCUUCUUCAUAAGUUCAGAAAUAUUCACAUCCUGGAAAAUAUUUUUAACAUUCAUUAUUCAUAAAGGAGAAAACACAUCAUUAGAUACUAAUUUUUUUACACGGUCUUUAUGCCCCUUUGCAUGCAAGAAGACUCCAAAAGCUGAAUGUUAGUUUUGCAUUACAGUGACACAAAUGCUACUGUUAUGUUUACAGUGGAUCAAAUGGUACUCAGUUAUAUCCAGCAACCUGGGUAUAAAUGAGGACAGAAUGUGUCUUAGCACAUUUAGAUUUAUCAACUCACUGAAAUGUUGAAA